UACGUAGGUGGCAAGCGUUGUCCGGAUUUACUGGGCGUAAAGAGCGCGCAGGCGGUCGUUCAAGUCGCGUGUGAAAGCCCCCGGCUCAACUGGGGAGGGUCACGCGAUACUGAUCGACUCGAAGGCAGGAGAGGGAAGUGGAAUUCCCGGUGUAGUGGUGAAAUUCGUAGAUAUCGGGAGGAACACCGGUGGCGAAGGCGGCGACCUGGGACAAUACUGACGCUGAGGUGCGAAAGCGUGGGGAGCAAACAGG
rnacentral:rRNA from 1 species